UGUUCCCCUUACCCGCAAGGGCUGCGCCCCCCGACUGCGCGGACCGCUUGAGAGACAGCGGGACAGAGAUGGGCCCAGGGCACUAUCCACAGGGCCCGAGCGGAGCGCGGCGCUCCGCCUGGCCGCCGCCAACGGCCCGCGCCCCGGCGCAGGGAGCAAGCGUGCGCAGGCGGGGGCGCGCGCGUGCCCGGUGGGGGCCGCACGCACGUUCGGCCUCGCCACGCGGGGCGCUGCAGUGCGUCCUCCGCGAAGCCUUUCCGGCUCGGGAGCUGAGCCAGACCUCUUGAGACCCCCAGCCCUUAACUGGAAUGUCUGCGUCCCCUUCCCUCGGGCUGGUGGUGGGAGAAUCUGCAGUUUGUUCGCCUGCCCAUCCCAGCGUCCGACCAGAAACAGCAGGCACACAGGGGGCGCCUGCUGAGUGUGUGAACCCCCACGGUAGAGCAGGGCACUGUGCGAGAGAAAAACGGUAACAGCAGCGGUCGCUCUGUCUCACACCUUCCCAGGCUGGGCGCUCUCAUGCACUCCUGGUUCCAUCUGCGCCCAGGAUAAAUGCAGCGGUGCUGGUCUGCAUUUCGGAGAGGAGAAAACGGAAACCAAAAAGGAUGGACCAUGGAAUGAGCUGAGAGAGGCCCCCUCCCCACCUCCUCAGCCACCACCGAACUUCCCCUUCCGGACUGCCCUCGUGGGUGGGGCCCUCAGAGACCGGGGACCAGCAGGAGACCAACAGAGGCCUUAGCAACGCCCCAAGCCUCUGUGUUGCAGCAACAGGCCAGUAGGCAAGGUGGCACUGCACUUGGGCCAGACUUCCUUUUGCUUAUGGAGCAUGCGGCAGCCCCAGGCCGCAGGCCGGAGCCCCCACCCUGGGCCACUGAGAAUGUUCUGCGGCAGGCCGAGGACUGGACAACCAGCCUCAAGACAGAGCUUCCCUCAGAUCUACAACUGAGUGAGGAGCAGCGGCUGCAGAUCUCCAAGGAGUUGGUUGACCUGCAGAUCACAACGCAUCACUUGCGGGAGCAACACGAGGCUGAACUCUUUGAGCUGAAGAGUGAGGUCCUGCGGCUGGAGAGCCGGGUGCUGGAGCUGGAGCUGCAUGGAGAUUGUGCAGCCCCGGCAGAGGCUGACCUGGGGCGCCGCCAGAAGCUGGCACAGGGGCUUGGGCACAAGGCCCAGGAGCAGGUACACUCCAUCCACCACAGACCCCAGGUCACCCUAAGUGCAUGGAGGGCCUGCCUGGGUGGAUUGGGCGGCGGGGAGCCAAACAGGGGUGCACAGGGGCGCAGUGAGGUUGGGACCGGCUCUCCUGUACAGGCACAGCCUGAGGACUUCUUGACCCCUAAGACUGAACAACAGAAGCUGGGGAACAGUGUGAGCGCGCAGCUCCCUAGCCUGGGAAUUAGUGCAGAUCUGUCCCAGCCCAGGGUGCGGCUGGGCAAGGCCAGGGACCCAGAGCUUGGGGUCUCAUUCAGCCAGCCCUUGUGUACCCGGCAGCUACAGGGAGAAUGGCAGCGAGUGCUGGAGCAGCACAGGGCCCAGAAGCAGGCACUGGAGACCCGCGUGGCAGAUCUGGGUCGGCGGCUGCAGGGAGCCCGAGAGGAGGCCAGGAUGGCUGGGCAGCGACUGGCCACACAAGCCAUGGUAUUGUCUGCCUGCCAGGGCCAGCUCCGCCAGGCUGAGGCGGAGAACGCCCAGCUGCAGCUGCAGCUCAAGAAGCUGAACCAAGAGUAUGCCAUCCAGCUGCAGCGAUGUGCCCAAGCCGUGGCCGUGAGCACCACCUGGGGGUGGCCCUGUGCUGGGUGGGAGGCUUCGGGUCCCGCGGAGCCCAAGCCUGGCCCGAGUGCGCUGGGCUGCUUCCGGGAGACCCCGUGGGCCCGGCCUGCCGCACGGCCCAAUCUGCUCCACAGAGGGAACCGUGGGAGGAAGUGUGGGCCCAACCAAGCCCCGCCCUUGUCAGUCCUGGCCCCACCCCCACCCCCAGCCCCGCCCAAUCUCCUCCAGGAGUCUGCAAAGCCCACCGGCCAGGUGCCGGAAGCCGCAGCCCUUAGGACGUUCCUGGAGACCACUCUGGAGGACAUCCGGGCAGCACACCGCAGCCGUGAACAGCAGUUGGCCCGGGCUGCUCGCGCCUACCGCAAGCGCCUGGCAGAUCUGAGCCGUAGACAUGAGGAGCUGCUGGCCAACCACAGUGUGCAGCAGGUGCCGGCAGACCCCAGUGGGGCACCCUGGACCCCCAAGGCUACCUUUGAUGCAGCCACCUCAGACCUGGAGCCACUGCCUCUGCACCUGGUCACCAAACUCAGUCACCUACCAGAGAACCAGGCCAGGCUGGAGACGAAGCUUUGGAAGCUCCAGGCCCAGCGUUUCCAGUCCAAUGGGCUCAUGACGCUGCUCUUGUUCCUACAGAAGGGACCCAGUGGAGCCUCCCAGGGGAGCACAUCAGAGCCACAGGGCCAGGAACCUGCCUCCUGGGCCCAGAUCCACCAGAAGCUCCAGGACUUCUCCCGUGGCACCCAGAGCUGGAACGCGAGCGGGCAAAGCUACUAGUCCGGGCCACGAUGGCUGAGGAGCAACUUUCUGAGCUACAGGACUAUGUGGACCAGCACUUAGGCAGGUACAAACAAGAGAUCCUGAGGCUGAGGAAGCUAAUGGGUACAGAGGAUGCCUGCAAAGUGGGGGCCACCCCUCCAGUCAAGCCCCAGCACUCCAAGACCCGCAGCCGCUAGCCAGCUGUCAAAUGCACUCAGCAG